CCUGACUUAGGGCUUGAACCCACAAACCGUGAGAUCAUGACCUGAGCCAAAAUCAAGAGUCAGACACUUAACAGACUGAGCCACCCAGGCGCCCGUUAACUCCAUUAGGUAUUCUUACUGUGUGAUCUCGGACAGGUUUCUUCAUUUUAAAUUGCGGCUAAUAAAUACUUGAGAAAGUAGUUUGAGGUCAAAUGAGAGAAUUUAUGUAAUGUGAGCUAUACAAUACCCAGCACAAAGUAUUUGCUCAAUAAAUAGUGGUAGUUACACUUAGCUUCCUAAAAAGAUUCCCAGUGCAAACUCACUCACUCAAACUGCCUUGAGUUCACAGUGAGAAUGGCAUGUACUUGAUAGCUCUGAGGACCUGAACCCAAACACAGGUAAACUCUUAACCAUCCACUGAAGUGUAGUAUUAGAAUCGGUAUUCUGUAUUUGCUGCAGUGCUAAUCAGCGCUAAUCAUGAGCUGAUUUGUUAUAAAGGUUAUGGCUCGUCAAGGGUAGGUAUGUUUUUCCUUACCCGUGUCCUUUAUCCCUAGUGCCUGCAGUGGUACCUAAUACAUAGUAGGUGGCCACCCAAAUCUGUUAAAUGAAUUUUUAUAGUAAGCACAUUGCCAGAUUAAAUAGGACUGUCUGGUGUGUAAGAAGCAUUAACAAUGGGCUUGAUAUUCAAGCAGUAUAUAUUGAAGAUUUAGCUGUGUUAAAGUAUUUUAUAACUUCCUGCGUUAGAAGCCUUUCUCAUAUAUAAUUUAACCUUCACAGCAGCCCUAUGAGGUAAAUAAUUGCCCUGUUUGAUAAAUGAAGAAAGCCUCCCAUUUCUCCCAGCUCCUCCCACUUGGAGUCCAGUGUACCCUCUGCUCACAUUACUCUUUAGAAUGAGUGUAGGAGCCUCUUAGCUGAUUUAGUUAUGCUCAGCCUUAUACAGUCUCGGCUUCUUUUAGUGCUUGUGAUUUUAAGAAGUAUAAUUGCUGUGAGGGUAGUCAGUCAGCUAUUUAUUAUAUUUACAAUGCAGUGUGAAACCAGGUGGAUAGGGAGCCUACAGCGACUCUUGUGGCUAAGGCUAAGGUGAACCUCUGUCCUCAAUAUUUAGGGGUUCACAGAGAAGUUGCCCCAGAGUCCCUUUCACAUAACUUCUGACACAUCUCACUAGCAUGAGCCCUGCUAAGUGGAAAGCAGUAGAUUCUCACAGUCCAGAGAUCACAACUGGGAUUAUAAUGAUGCAGUAGGCUUUAUUUUCCUGCCUUCCACAGCUGCUAGACCCCACACUAUCCAGGGCAGAUCUUUAGCCAUUAUCUUUCUAGUGGCCAGCUGCCUACUGAGGCAUUGAAGAAAAGUUACCGAGUGAUACUUCUGCCAUAAAUUAGGAGAACAAUGCUCUCUCUGUUCUACCUUAGUGCCUCAUUUGACUGUCUGCAUUAUUGUGGCCAGAUGUUUUGCAUGGACAAUGGUUUGGUGCCUAAUAUCUGCUCUCACAAAGCCUCAAGAAUUGAGAGAGGGGGCUGCCAGGAUAUCUUCAGGCUAACUAGAAAAUUCUGUCGGCGUGAACUCAGUAGCCCAGCUACAUCCAGAUUGUCAAGGAGGCCUUUAUGAUAAUCCAGCACAAUUAUUUUACCUUAGAAGAGCCCAGGUUCCACACCUGUAACUCUCAUUUAACACAGUCCUGUUCUGGCUUUUCCCCACCCCACCCCAAAACAGGCUAGUGUUUUAAGAGACAGAGGGUUUGCUUGCAUGGAAAGGGAUUGAGAGAAACUGACCAACAUUUCCUGCAGUGUGGUGUGUUUCUGGUCACUGAUCUAACCUCUAACCAAAUAAGCAAAGUUAGGCAUAGUAGACUUGUCUUCCAGUGCUUCCAUUGUUCAGAAUGUUUUAUGUACCUUCAUGCCCUCUGCCAGUUUACUGGAAAAGCUGUUUGCCUUUGCUUUCGGCAUUUUUGUCACUCGCCAAGCCCAUCCCAUCUGCUGUUUCUCAUCUGUUCUACUGGUCACUGUAGGAAAAUGAAAUGGCUCACCAUACCAUUGUUUGUGAUUUAAAGACUCCAAAUGUCUUUUUAUCAGAAAAGUUUUUCUUCACAAAAUUGAAACACCCGUGUUAAAGUUCGUACAGAAAUGUUAAGCUUCAGGUUCUGCUACGAGAAGUAGCAUUGUUUUUCCUGCAGCAAGUCUGUGAUAGCCAUGUUAUUUUUCUUAAUGAAUAAAAAAAAAAACAUAAAACUAUAUUAUCUUUCUAGAAAGCAAAUAGGCAAGCGGGGCUUAUAAGUAACACUACAGUGCCAUAUGAAUUUAUACUGUUUUAAAAUAAGCUUUGAAGAAGACAAAAUGAGAUGAGCUAUUACAUCUCCUCUCCUGUUUCCUUUCUCAUGAAUAUUGAAACAUUCUGGAUCUUUGGACUUUUUGACUAUGAGAGCAUGAAGAAACAUGGUCAUUCUGGUGGUGAUGUGAAGGGAGUCCAGUGCAAGCCUUCUGUUCACUGCCUGUGCCUUUCAUCUCUUUUUAGCAGAAUCUACUGCCUCCAAAUGUUGACUGUCUGUAGCAAGAUGAUGUCUGUUAUUUUUUUAUAAGAGUUUGUGAUUAUAAUCUGACCUUGGGGAUGAAAGAAUUUACCUAAAUAUUUUUGCCAUUGUUCCCCUUUUAAAAUAUAUGUGUUGCAGUGAGCAUAAGAUGUUAUUUAUAAGCUGCAACCACUGGAUGAAAGUUCCAGAAAGGUCAAAAAGAGCUUUUGUUUGCCUUGUCUUUUCCUAUGCAAACUUCCUCUGACUCACUCCUGUCUUCCAUUGCCCGCUGCAGCCCUCCCUCCCCCCCCCACCCCGCCCCGCACCUUCCAAACACUCCUACUAAGAUGAUUGAAUAAAACUUAGCUUGCAUCACUUUUAAUUUGAAGAUCGAAGUCUUAAAAAAAUAAAAAUACUGUCCAUGACUUUUCUUGAGAUUACAUGAUUUAGCAGUCAGUCAACCUUUGUCAUGUCUAACUUUUAAGAGAGUCUAAUCAUUCAUUUACAGUAGUUUGUUUUAUCUGGUACAUGAGCUUUACACAGAUGCUUGUAUUGACUACAGUUAAGCAUUUUGACUUAAAAACAUUAAAAUGAGUUCAUUGUAUGUUUCAUGUUAUUAAAAAGAAUUAAGCAAAUCAGGAACUAGAUCAUUGGUGAAGUGAACACCCACAGUAUAUGGCUGCAUAUUCAUAAUAUAUCUGUGUUUAUAAAUUACAUUAA